UAGCUUUGUCCUAAGUCAAACUUCUUAAAGUUUGACCAAGCUUUUUUUAUAGAAAAAUGUACGAGCAUCUACAAUAUCAAUUAAAUAUUAUGAAAAUAUAUAUCAUGAUGGAUUUAAUAAAACUAAUUUAGAGUUGUAUAUGUUGGUAGAUUUUUCUAUAAAUUUGGUCAAAGUUUUAAAAGUUUGACUUAGGACAAAGCUAG
rnacentral:pre_miRNA from 1 species